rnacentral:rRNA from 1 species
GACGAACGCUGGCGGCGUGCUUAACACAUGCAAGUCGAACGGAAAGGCCCUGCUUUUGUGGGGUGCUCGAGUGGCGAACGGGUGAGUAACACGUGAGUAACCUGCCCUUGACUUUGGGAUAACUUCAGGAAACUGGGGCUAAUACCGGAUAGGAGCUCCUGCUGCAUGGUGGGGGUUGGAAAGUUUCGGCGGUUGGGGAUGGACUCGCGGCUUAUCAGCUUGUUGGUGGGGUAGUGGCUUACCAAGGCUUUGACGGGUAGCCGGCCUGAGAGGGUGACCGGCCACAUUGGGACUGAGAUACGGCCCAGACUCCUACGGGAGGCAGCAGUGGGGAAUAUUGCACAAUGGGCGGAAGCCUGAUGCAGCAACGCCGCGUGCGGGAUGACGGCCUUCGGGUUGUAAACCGCUUUCGCCUGUGACGAAGCGUGAGUGACGGUAAUGGGUAAAGAAGCACCGGCUAACUACGUGCCAGCAGCCGCGGUGAUACGUAGGGUGCGAGCGUUGUCCGGAUUUAUUGGGCGUAAAGGGCUCGUAGGUGGUUGAUCGCGUCGGAAGUGUAAUCUUGGGGCUUAACCCUGAGCGUGCUUUCGAUACGGGUUGACUUGAGGAAGGUAGGGGAGAAUGGAAUUCCUGGUGGAGCGGUGGAAUGCGCAGAUAUCAGGAGGAACACCAGUGGCGAAGGCGGUUCUCUGGGCCUUUCCUGACGCUGAGGAGCGAAAGCGUGGGGAGCGAACAGGCUUAGAUACCCUGGUAGUCCACGCUGUAAACGGUGGGUACUAGGUGUGGGGUCCAUUCCACGGGUUCCGUGCCGUAGCUAACGCUUUAAGUACCCCGCCUGGGGAGUACGGCCGCAAGGCUAAAACUCAAAGGAAUUGACGGGGCCCCGCACAAGCGGCGGAGCAUGCGGAUUAAUUCGAUGCAACGCGUAGAACCUUACCUGGGUUUGACAUGGAUCGGGAGCGCUCAGAGAUGGGUGUGCCUCUUUUGGGGUCGGUUCACAGGUGGUGCAUGGCUGUCGUCAGCUCGUGUCGUGAGAUGUUGGGUUAAGUCCCGCAACGAGCGCAACCCUUGUUCACUGUUGCCAGCACGUUAUGGUGGGGACUCAGUGGAGACCGCCGGGGUCAACUCGGGGGAAGGUGGGGAUGACGUCAAGUCAUCAUGCCCCUUAUGUCCAGGGCUUCACGCAUGCUACAAUGGCUGGUACAGAGAGUGGCGAGCCUGUGAGGGUGAGCGAAUCUCGGAAAGCCGGUCUCAGUUCGGAUUGGGGUCUGCAACUCGACCUCAUGAAGUCGGAGUCGCUAGUAAUCGCAGAUCAGCAACGCUGCGGUGAAUACGUUCCCGGGGCU